UGGUUAAAAAUUGACUAUAAAGGGCAAUAACUCCUUAAGGGGUCAACUGACAAUUUUGGUCAAGUUGACUUAUUUGUAGAUCUUACUUUGCUGAACAUUAUUGCUGUUUACAGUUUAUCUCUAUCUAUAAUAAUAUUCAAGAUAAUAACCAAUAAAAUGCUCCGCUGGGGCGCAGCUUGAUACGACCGCAGAGGUCGAACCCUGAACAGUUGGGGCAAGUAUGGACACAACAUUCAAGCUUGAUACAGCUCUGAAUUUGGAUUGUUAUUAAAUAUUUGACACAGCAUAGGUUUCUGACACAGAAAGAAUGUGGUCUAAGAACUUCAAUUUUUUUAAUUUACCUAUUAUGGUCCAAUGUCCAAAAUCAAAAUACAUGGUUAGAUUCAGCAUAUCAAAGAACCCCAUAUAUUCAAUUUUUGUUAAAAUCAAACAAAGUUUAAUUUUGGACCCCAACUUGGACAAACUUGAAAACUUGGCCCAUAUUCAAAAAUCUAAACACAUGUUUAGAUUCAGCAUAUCAAAGAACCCCAAGAAUUCAAUUUUUGCUAAAAUCAAACUAUGUUUAAUUUUGGACCCUUUGGACCUUAAUGUAGACCAAUUUAAAAAACCAGACUUAAAAUUAAAAAUCUAAAUACACGGUUAGAUUUGGAAUAUCAAAGAACCCCAAUAAUUCAAUUUUUGAUGAAAUCAAACAAAGUUUAAUUUUGGACCCUUUUGACCUCAAUAUGAACCAAUUUGAUAGCGGGGCCCACAAAUAAAAAAUCUAAAUUCAUGGUUAGAUUCAGCAUAUCAAAGAACCCCAUAUAUUCAAUUUUUGUUGAAAUCAAAAAAAGUUUAAUUUUGGACCCCAACUUGGACCAACUUGAAAACUGGGCCCAUAAUCAAAAAUCUAAACACAUGUUUAGAUUCAGCAUAUCAAAGAACCCCAAGAAUUCAAUUUUUGUUAAAAUCAAACUAAGUUUAAUUUUGGAUCCUUUGGACCUCAAUGAAGACCAAUUUAAAAAAAACGGGACCCAAAUUAAAAAUCUAAAAACACGGUUAGAUUUGGCAUAUCAAAGAACCCCAAUAAUUCAAUUUUUGAUGAAAUCAAACAAA